rnacentral:rRNA from 1 species
UUUGAUCCUGGCUCAGGACGAACGCUGGCGGCGUGCUUAACACAUGCAAGUCGAGCGGUAAGGCCUUUCGGGGUACACGAGCGGCGAACGGGUGAGUAACACGUGGGUGAUCUGCCCUGCACUUCGGGAUAAGCCUGGGAAACUGGGUCUAAUACCGGAUAUGACCUCCUAUCGCAUGGUGGGUGGUGGAAAGAUUUAUCGGUGCAGGAUGGGCCCGCGGCCUAUCAGCUUGUUGGUGGGGUAAUGGCCUACCAAGGCGACGACGGGUAGCCGACCUGAGAGGGUGACCGGCCACACUGGGACUGAGACACGGCCCAGACUCCUACGGGAGGCAGCAGUGGGGAAUAUUGCACAAUGGGCGAAAGCCUGAUGCAGCGACGCCGCGUGAGGGAUGACGGCCUUCGGGUUGUAAACCUCUUUCAGCAGGGACGAAGCGCAAGUGACGGUACCUGCAGAAGAAGCACCGGCUAACUACGUGCCAGCAGCCGCGGUAAUACGUAGGGUGCAAGCGUUGUCCGGAAUUACUGGGCGUAAAGAGUUCGUAGGCGGUUUGUCGCGUCGUUUGUGAAAACCAGCAGCUCAACUGCUGGCUUGCAGGCGAUACGGGCAGACUUGAGUACUGCAGGGGAGACUGGAAUUCCUGGUGUAGCGGUGAAAUGCGCAGAUAUCAGGAGGAACACCGGUGGCGAAGGCGGGUCUCUGGGCAGUAACUGACGCUGAGGAACGAAAGCGUGGGUAGCGAACAGGAUUAGAUACCCUGGUAGUCCACGCCGUAACGGUGGGCGCUAGGUGUGGGUUCCUUCCACGGAAUCCGUGCCGUAGCUAACGCAUUAAGCGCCCCGCCUGGGGAGUACGGCCGAAGGCUAAAACUCAAAGGAAUUGACGGGGGCCCGC